AGCAGCCGCGGUAAUUCCAGCUCCAAUAGUGUAUAUUAAAGUUGCUGUGAUUAAAACGCUCGUAGUUGAAUUAUAAAGCGUAUAGUGCUUGGAGCUCUGCUUUGCAGGGUGAAGGGCACAAUUAAACGACGCCUUAGGUGAUGCUCUUCGGAGUGUCAUUACUUUGAAAAAAAUAGGGUGUUUAAAGCAAAUCUUAUGUUAAUGAAUAAUGAAGCAUGGGACAAUAUUGAGGAGAUCCUUCGGGAUUUCGAGAAAAGGAUUAAGAGGAACAAUUGGGGUGAUUCAGAAAAUAACGGGAGAGGUAAAAUUCCAUGAUCGCUAUAAGAUGCACGAGAGCGAAAGCAUUUCACUCAAUUGCGUUCAUUAAUCAAGAACGAAAGUUA
rnacentral:rRNA from 1 species